rnacentral:rRNA from 1 species
AAGAAAGCAGGGGACCUUCGGGCCUUGCGCUAUGAGAUGAGCUUGCGUCCGAUUAGCUAGUUGGUGGGGUAAAGGCCUACCAAGGCGACGAUCGGUAACUGGUCUGAGAGGAUGAUCAGUCACACUGGAACUGAGACACGGUCCAGACUCCUACGGGAGGCAGCAGUGGGGAAUAUUGGACAAUGGGGGCAACCCUGAUCCAGCCAUGCCGCGUGUGUGAAGAAGGCCUUCGGGUUGUAAAGCACUUUAAGCGGGGAGGAAGGCCUGAUGGCUAAUAUCCAUCGGGAUUGACGUUACCCGCAGAAUAAGCACCG